rnacentral:lncRNA from 1 species
GAUGAACUGGUCAUGUUAAAUUCAACUUAUAGUUAUUUUAGUGUAUCUAGUAAUUAGCAACUUAGUUUGUUACAUGUCGUGUUUAGAAGAAAACACUUGAAUGAGCUUAGUAUGAUCACCUCUUCCUUUUUAGAGUCACUCUGUGAAGUAGCAAGUUGCACCACCAUCGAAUAAUUCUCCUCUUAACCUGCUUAAAUGCUUGGUAAUUCUUUUGGAAUAUUUUUUCAAUUGACCUUUUUUUUAUGAUUAUGCAUGAAGCAAUUUAAUACUUGAUCUACUUCCUGAUGCUAAUCUUUACCCUUUUAUAUGCAUGAACUCCUCCGUUGAGUCCCUGGGACUCCCUUCUAUCGCAUUCCGUUGGGUUAAGCCCAACCUCCAUCGAGUCAAAGCCUCAACCGAAUUCACAAAUGGACUUAUACAUGCAUAAACAAGCUGAUAUACAGUUGUAUACAGCUGAUAUACAUUAGAAGGCAGCAGCUGCGCGUUAUACCGUUGUUUAUGAUGAAAAAUGGAGUCAAAAUAUGCAGCUUACCGCACUGAUAUAACCGUAUACGCAGCGGUAAUACACAAAAAUGCAGGAAAUAAGCUGCUGAAAUACAGCAGAUAUACAGGGGCGAAAAAUGGGCUAAAGUCCAUGGAAUUGGUCCAAUGGACAGAUUUUUUUGGGCCAAAAGGGGCCCAAUUCUCACUCUUUUCUCUUUAAUUAUCCAUUCUAAAUUAUUUGUUUGUAUUUGCUUGAAAACUUUAAUCAAUUAAUCUAAAUAAAUCUCCAAGACAUCGCCAUUUUUCUUUUAUCUUCAUCUUUUCCCCUCCGUUACUAACUUGAAUUUCCC